CUGGUGCUCACACCCUCAGCGCUCCUUGGCAGCUCCUUCAGAGACCUGCUCAGCUGCUUGCCUUUGCUGUGGAACAUCUCACGCUUGUGGACAGUGUUCCUUGCUUCUGUAGGGUAACUCUGUCCCUAGAAGUGUGUCAGGAGUUCUUAGAGGCCUGGCACCCUCCAUGUGUUCCAGAAAAACUCCUCUGUUACUAUUCAAUGUCUACAAGGAAUCUGGAAGCUGAUGGGUGAAUAAACAGCUCACCAGUUCUACUGUUUGGUAUUUUCCUACCUGGACCUGCUAUGACUUUCACACCUCCUUCUCCCAGUGGCAUGAUUCUGGUAUCAGACACUGUUGAAGAACAAACGGAAACUUUACAAGAGAAGACAGCUGUAGAGCAGG